rnacentral:rRNA from 1 species
GACGAACGCUGGCGGCGUGCUUAGCACAUGCAAGUCGAACGGAAAGGCCCUGCUUUUGUGGGGUGCUCGAGUGGCGAACGGGUGAGUAACACGUGAGUAACCUGCCCUUGACUUUGGGAUAACUUCAGGAAACUGGGGCUAAUACCGGAUAGGAGCUCCCGCUGCAUGGUGGGGGUUGGAAAGUUUCGGCGGUUGGGGAUGGACUCGCGGCUUAUCAGCUUGUUGGUGGGGUAGUGGCUUACCAAGGCUUUGACGGGUAGCCGGCCUGAGAGGGUGACCGGCCACAAUGGGACUGAGAGACGGCCCAGACUCCUACGGGAGGCAGCAGUGGGGAAUAUUGCACAAUGGGCGGAAGCCUGAUGCAGCAACGCCGCGUGCGGGAUGACGGCCUUCGGGUUGUAAACCGCUUUCGCCUGUGACGAAGCGUGAGUGACGGUAAUGGGUAAAGAAGCACCGGCUAACUACGUG